rnacentral:tRNA from 1 species
GGACGCUUAGCUCAGUUGGUAGAGCAUCUCGUUUACACCGAGGAGGUCGAAGGUUCGAGUCCUUCAGCGUCCACCA